AAUAAAAAAAAAAAAAAAAACUUCCAGAUUGUUACUUUUUUUCGUUCCUGCGCCGCACAUACAUGUAUGUAAAUUAUAUAAGACUGUGCUCGGCAUG
rnacentral:ribozyme from 1 species